rnacentral:lncRNA from 1 species
GAGUAGUGCGAGCCGCCGCCGUGGGGAGCCCGCCCGCCGAAGUCUGGCGGCACUGUGGGGGCGGCCUCAGUGCCUCAGUUUCCCCCUGGGGCGGCUGUACGGGAGGCGUGUCGCAGCGAGGUGACCUCCCCCAGGUCCCUGUGCAGAACCUUGAGGUAAGUUCCCAAAAAGUGUAGAGAAUGGCCAUGGGGAAGAAGGAACUGUCACAAAGCUGGAAAGGAGUCUUGGUGCUGGGCUGCCGCCUCUCCCAAGCCCAUCUUGGAUUCUGGAACUUCCUGCUGCCUUGCACACUGACUGGGCUACCUCAGCCCAGCUCUGACUGUCCCCAACUGCCGGCCGGCCCCAGCUUUCCAGAUCUCAGGCUAGAAUGUGGCAACUCCUGGCCCUGCUCCCUGUGUGACCGCUCAGGUACUGAUUGGAUUUCUCCACCUCAUCACUUGCCCCGAUUCCCUCUGAAGCGGUUACUUGACCAGUUCACCACAAGUUCGUCAGCUCACCCUGAGAAUACAGGAUUGUCGAAUCCAAAAUGGGAUGGUAGUGUUGUUCCUUGCACAGUAGUGUACAAUAAUGUUGUACGUGUGCUUUUCAUUUUUUUAUUUUUUUUAUUUUUUGACAGGCAGAGUGCACAGUGA